CUGUUAAUCAGAAAAAGCCUGUUUCUCGCUAUCAAUUAGUUUGGGGAUUUUUAAUUUUGAAGGACCAGCAAGUUCUCCCUUUGGUCUACCCAACCUUCAAUAGUGUUGUAUUAAAACCUUUGUGGUGUAUAUAUAUAUUUCAAUACCUUUUGGGGUACAAGUGGUUUUUGGUCUCUAAGAAGCUCCAAACUUUCCCUCAUUUUCCUUUCUUCUUCUAAGCCAUCCGAAGUCUUUCAACCUGCCACCCAAUUCCAAAGUUUCUUUCAUAUUUUCAGGUAUUUUUAUAGCAGUGCCCCACUCCUUGGUACCAAUUUUCUGUACUAGGCUGUUCUUACAUUUCUAUAAACAUCAAAGUCUGGGUAAUUUAUAAAGCAAAGGUGUUUAAUUGGCUCAUGGUUCUGUAGGCUUUAUAGGAAGCAUCGUGCUGGCAUCUGUUCAGCUUCUAGGGAGGCCUCAGGAAGCUUGCAAUCAUGGCAGAAGCUGAAGAGGGAGCAAAUGUCACGCACAGUGAUAGCAGGAGCCAUGGGGGGGGGGGGAGGUGCCACACCCUUUUUAAACAACCAGAUCUUGUGAAAACUCACCAUUGUGAGGACAGCACCAAGGGGAUGGCAUUAAACUACUCAUCAGGUAUUCGUUCUCAUGAUCCAAUCACCUCCCACCAGACCCACCUCCAACAUGGGAGAUUACAAUUCAACAUGAAGCUUAGAGGAAACAACAUCCAAACUACAUCAACAUCUUACUUUAUACACCCUUGUUCUUUCGCUCUUUGCAAUAAAUCUUGCUGCUGCUGCUCACUCUUUGGGUCCACAGUGCCUUUAUGAGCUGUAACACUCACUGCGAAGGUCCGCAGCUUCACUCCUGAGCCAGCCAGACCACGAGCCCCACCAGAAGGAAGAAACUCCGAGCACAUCCGAACAUCAGACACUUCAAGAAUAUACUGUCUUUAAAACACCUUGAUAUACAGGCUAGUAGACCUUGAGAACCUGCACCUAGAAGAGGAAUGGAUAUCACCUGAACGUACCUGAAGAACAGCCCACAACGUGAUAUUCAGUUGUCUCCUGCUGGGAAGGGCGUGAAUGUAUUUGUGAUUAAAUGAGGGAGAGGUGGAUUACAUUAAAUGGGGAGACCUUCAGAAUUAGCAAUUUCUGCUAAUGGAGCAGGGGGUACCAGCAUGUGCGGAGCG
rnacentral:lncRNA from 1 species